UCAACUGUAGUAGCAUGCAUGUCUAACAUCUUUUGUCCUUUCAUAAAGCAACGAAAGUUCAGAACAUACCAUCUUAAACCGGUGAGCGACUUGGUUUACAUUAUCUCCUAGAUGACCUGAGCUACAAAUUUAUUGUUUCCAUAAAUUAGGUAAAUAAUGUUUGUACAAUGAAUUUUAAAUGUAAAAGCAGCCUAGUAGAAAUUAAGGCAUAAUAUCAUGACGUGUGAAAAAGCUCAAUAAACUACAUCAACACAAGCAAAAUGACAGACAAAAUACAUGAUAAUAUUUUUUCGCCCAUGGAUAUGUACUUCCAAAUAGCUUUAUAUUAACAUCAUAUGCACGUGCUGAAGGAAAAUUUUAAUUAGAUCAACCAAGGCAAAAAUAUAUUGUGUAAGAUCUCAUCUCUUGUAAAAAGAAACUGGCGCAAAUAGAAAGCAGAAAUCUAAGACCAUUUAGGAAAAGAGUUAACCAGUUAAUCGGUAAAAGACAACAAUGUAAGAUGCCAUCAGUUAUAAAAAAACUGAUCAAGGAGCACAUAAAUCACUUCCCGCAGGGCGCCAUCCCCUGCCUCCAUCCUGAGCACCUCCAUCCCGUGAGCACUCAAGCCCUGGAUCCAUAGUCUCGAGCUCGCCCGAGCUCCGCCAUCUCUGCCUCGAGCUCUGAAAUCACCGCUACUAAUCAGACUCUUACUUGGAUACUUAACAAAAAAGAGUCAGAAAGGAAAUUUAUUUACCGAAACAACAUAAUGAAAUAUGAUAUAUAUCGUUCUUUAGAAUGAGAAGCUACAAAAUAGAAGAGGCAUAAGUUUAUAUGGAAGUAUUCAUAUAUCCUAGGCCGGGUUUUUACAGAGCAAUCACGGACAUGCCUUUAUACGUCUAUACAAAAUGAUCUGCGCAAGAAGGCUGCACAUAUGGAAGUAUUCAUAUAUCCUAGGCCGGGUUUUUACAGAGCAAUCACGGGCAUGCCGUUAUACAUCUAUACAAAAUGAUCUGCGCGAGAAGGCUGCUGUAAAAGUAGCAAGGAUUAAAGUAAAAAAUGCAUCACAACAAUUCAUUACUAAACAACGGAAUGAAAUACGAUAGCUAUCAAUCCUGGUAACAGGAAGCUACCAAAUAUAAGACGACCACAUUUAUAUUAUUAUUUUGCGGGUAGAGGAUAACAUUUAUAUGGAAACAUUCAAAUAUCCUAGGUCUGUAUUUUGACCAUGUAAUCACGGAUAUGUCGUUAUACCCCCACCUUCUCCUUUUACUCCGCAUACAAGUUUGGUCAAACUGAAAAUGGAAAUGCAUUAUGUUUGAACACUGAAACCCCUCCUUGCAAAAGAAUCAAUUAGAGCACCGGUCCUCAUUCAAUCUGAUCUCUGACUGUGAGCUAUUUUUGUUCUCUAUAAUUUAGCUUGGGGUUUCCACUUGUGUAGAACUGUAACAAAUAAAGCAGGGCAUGUAGCAUGGGUGCAGCUCCUGUGCUGGGCACUAUUGACAUGCUUUGCACACGUAUAAUAGGCAUGGGCAAAGGUGAGAGGGUCAUGGUGUACUGCACGGCCUGGAUGUGCACUGUGUGUAUGCGUGAGGCUGUAAAGGAUAAUAACAAUGUGUAGCUUCUCGCUUCAGUCAUAAACAGAAAAAUACAAAAAUGAACUCAACACAAAGCUAGUGCUGGGGGAAAACCAUCGAGUACCUUGUAUACAUCCUUUCUCUGGUUGAUUCUUGCUAUCGAUUCCUCUACGACGAGCCAAGAUCUGAGUCUCAUGUGUGUCCACAGGGGGAAAACAGAGGCGAGCGAGACUCCAGGCCUGUCACUCUCCUUCAUUAUCAGCUAAUUUGAAUGGUUGUUGCCAGUAAGUGAAAUGGGAAUUGUACAUCAAGAUUCACGGAGCAGAAACGAAUUACCAGAGGGAGAUGGGUAGUCUGCAAAUGGUACAAAGGAUCUCUUUUGAGCUGAUCUGCUCCAAACGACUGGUUUCAAACUGAACAAGGAAAUAAGCAAAUGGACAAGUCAUUAGAAACAACCUUGCGCAAAAUAAUUUGAAACAUCAUUAUGCAGUUUACUGUCAUUAGAAACAACCUUGCAUAAUAGUAUAAUUUAGUUCCAAAGUAUGUCCAGAGAUACAGGGGUACAGAUCUAGUGCAUUUUAGUUUCAGAGUAUGGUCCAGAAUCAUACUAAAUCUACAAAACCAGUAUCCUUAUCUGAAAGCACCCACACAGUUCAUUUGAUAGAUGCAUUCAGCGGUAAAAGAAAAAAAGGAUGUUAGCAAAUUAGAGCUGCACACACACCUCCAAGGCUCCAAUAGUGUUUUGGCCUGUGUAGGAAACACGAACCCCCAAACACCUCGAGCUCCUUGCCCAGUGGGGGUGGAGGCAAUGGUGGCGCUUCUCAUGACCCAGAGGAGGCAACGACGCGGUCGAGCGGUGCCGGCGCCGCCCCGGACUAUAUCAAGAUUGGGCGAGACGAGGCGGCGACCAGGCGAGCAAGCACCAUCAUAGCGCCGUGGUUGGGGAGCAGCAGCGGUGUGCAGCGCGGGAGUACUGCAGCAGCGCGGAGGCACGGGAGAGAGGGAGAGAAGGGGGGGGGGGCAAGGAGGCCGUGGCUGCCUCGUUUCCUCUUUGAGAUCGAGAGAGAGAGAGAGUACCUGAGAGGAAAAGAAUGUUAAUGGCGAAGGAUAUGUAUCCUGCGCAGUAAAUUGUAAAAAGAAAUACCCUGAAGUGAGAAUUUUUGGUCGCAGUUUGCAGCUUCCUCAUAAGCUUAGGCAUCUUCAUGCUUUACUAUCACCCUGUCAAGCACAGUAAUAAGCAACGUAAACAUAUCCUCACUGAAAUUGCAUCGUUGAUCAAGAUGACAAAACUGAUUACUCAGAUAACAAAACCAACCUUCAGCUGGCAAUUAGCAAUCUUGAUGUACACAGAUGAAGGUCUGUUCCUUGCAAACCAAGUUGGUAACAACACAACAGAAUAAGGGGAUGAGUGCUUAGACAUUAAGCCAUUAAACAAACUCGGAAUUGCAAAUCACCCUGUCAAGCACGGCAUUACACCAACCAGCAGGUAGUGCUGCCACCUCCACACAAAGUUACUAAUUCAUCCUAAAGGAAAAAUCACAUCAUGAGAUGGAAAGGAUGGAAUUAAAUCACUAACUCACACACUCUGCACACGGAACGGCCAACACCGGUGUUGCUUCUCACGUAAUGGUCAAAGGCGGAGGCCGGCUCCUCAACCCAGCUCCGGCUUUCGACAAGUUGACUAACAGUCUAACACAAAGCAUAUUAUUAACAUCCAUAAUUUGGAUUGGGUAAUUUAGAACAAGUGAUUCAACUUCUAUAAUUUGACCCUGCUAACACAUGAUUUAUUGGAUAAUUUGGACUGUUGUGCAAAAUUUAAGAGCGGAACUAAUUGUUCAAUUUCUAAUUUUUUACUUGGCAUAUCUUCUGAGUAAGGUGAGCUCAUUCUCUAAAGCAAAUACAACAGUUUUCAGGAAAAUGCUUAGGAACAGUAGCGGCAAGUUGAAGAUCAAGUUGGACAGACUAAGCUCUAAAUGGCAUCUCCCUUUUUCUAAAAGGCAAAAGAUUAAGUAAAAUCUGUCUGUUGGAUAGAGCAAAUAUAUAGCUUCAGAAAUAAGAACAAAGCCAUGAACAGAGCAUCGAGGAAUCAGUAUAAGAACAAAGCAAAUAUUAUACUGAAGGUUGAGUAAAAUCUGUCUUUUGGAUAAAAUAAGAACAAAGCCAUGAACAGAGCAUUGAGGAAUCAGUAUAACAAUUUUGAAACACAAUAAUUUCGAAAUCUUGCAAAAUCACAACAAAAAUUUAUGUAGUUAUGAACAAUUGGAAAUACAUUAUAAUAAAGGUUGAUUAAAAUCUGUCUAUUGGAUUGAGCAAAUAUGUAGCUACAGAAAUUUUGUAAAAUCAACACAAAACAAGAAUCUCAUUUAAUGAAAACAAAUCUGUCAUUACCUAUGAUCAGAAUUAGGUAUAGCGAAAAUAAAUCACUCUACUCGCUAGAGAUCAGAUAAGGAAAAGAAAAUUAAUGAGUGACAACUUCUAAGAUAUUGAUCAGUUAAGGAAAAAAUUGUUGAUGACAUUAUUAACCUAUCACUUUGUAGAAAAGCAUGAGAAACUAACAGAAACUACCACAUAUACUUGCAAGUGCGCCACUAAGAAAAGCAAUCAGGCAUGUUUUCUGGGACUCUGUCCCUGCUAUUUAAAAGAACUGCACUAACAGAACAAGGCUAAGGAGGAGCAAAAUAAGGACAAUAUCGGUAGUCAUGCAAGUGGGUAGACAUAUGUACUGCCAUAACUUGAAAAUCACGAGCUUCAUCAAGAAACACAUGCAAAGACGAAAAAGAGUUUCAACAAGAAACACAUGUAAAGACGAAAAAAGUUUUUUUCAGCUAGCAGAAGAUUACCAGUUCAUCUUACCCAGGCACACUGCCAUAACUUGAAUGUAGCUUGUACAUAUUAUACGUAUUCACUGUUUUAUUGAGAUAGUAUAUCAACACUAUAAUGCUGAAAAUGCAAGCAGAUAAACAAAACUGCACUACAAUCACCCAUACACGCCACUAAAUUUUAUAUGAGCACCUAGAACUAUUUUAUGGUGAUAAAACAAUGGAAGCACGUUGGCAACACAAUUGUAAAAUAAACUAUAUUCAAGGAAAUCUGCACUUGCCCGGUUUGAUAGCAAAGCAUUUUCUACGUGUUCUGAGAAUACCACAGUUUUUUAGACUACCAUGCUGAAAAAGAGCCCACGUGCAUAUUCAUGUGCCUCUCGACACACAUCUCCUUCCAUGUAUUGUGUGAACAAAUAAAUAAUCUAUAUACUGAAAAAAUUAAUAUAAUGAACUUGAAGAAAACAACUAUAUCAUUCUGACCAACUUUGUUCAAACACGACCAGACUCCAGACCACAUUUUUUAUGUCAUUAGUUCUAAAAGGAGCGAUAGAAGAGUGCUGGAGGUACAAAUAAGAAUCAUUUCAUAUUACAAAUAGAAAAUGUGAGAAGGACUGCUGGAGGUACAAAUAAGAAUCAUUUCAUAUUACAAAUAGAACAUAUCUUUGCAUCAGUAGUUGUCGAUUAACAAUACAUUUAGACAUCCAAUAGAUCCAAAGUGCACACAUAAUUACAGUAUAAUUGUAGACCACAGGGUAUCCGUUGCCAAGUUAUUUAUUGUUCCAUGGCCUGUAAAAAUGAAGAGUAGUGUAGUGUCACACUAUUGGUACAGGAAAAUUGCUGCAACUACGAAAAGAAAAACUGAUUUUUUUUUUGUUUAUCCACAGUAUAGUGCCUGGCCAUCAAUAUUAUUGCAGUAAAUGUCAUAAAUCAUAUAAACACAUAUAUCAGGAAGUUAUUCUAAUGCUCUAGUAACAUAAUAUAAUAACUAAUAUAUUAACAACACUAUUGCUUGAAGGGUCCAAUCAGAAGCUCCUACUUAUUUUAGUCUGCCAAGCAAUCCGUGUGUGCUGCAAUCUUCAAGCAAAAUUUACUUUUUGCAUAGAUCACAAUAAUAAAGGCAACAAGCGGUAGAUUUUUCAUGAAUUUGUUGCUGCUACCCAGAUAGAAAAUUGAAGGCAGCCUACCUCAUCUUCCCAAGUUGAUUGUGAGACUUACUUUAUUCCAGAACGUGAUGUCCAUGUGCCACCAAAAUGUCUCCCACGGAUGCCAUUGACACCACUACUUGCUAGUUAUUCCAUAGUUGAUAGUGAGAACAUUCCACAUCUGCAGCCAUAAAAAAUAAUCAAUUGAAUGGAGUCCUUAUAACGGGGAAACAUAACUUGAAGGUAGCAAUCCUUGAUAUCCAUCAGUUCUGACACAACAAUAGCAAAUAGGAGAAGUUAAAGAAAGAUCUAAAACCAGGUGUGCUGCUCCAAUGAAUCUGUGUGUAACAAGAAAGAGAGGUCGGGGAAGAGAGAGAGAGAGGGCACAAAGGGGAAAGGGGGAGUACAUGCGUGUCAAGGGUAGCCUGGCCUCCCUCCUGCUCCAGAUCAGGAACCUGGGAGAAGGUGAGGAGAGGUGGCGACGAGGUGCGAGCCAGCUAGCGUGGCUGCUGCUCCCCUUCUCUUAUCGAGGCCGGACUGAGGACGCGCUGCGGCUGCUGCUCCUCUCCUCUUACUGACGCGGUCGGUCCGUGGUGGACGCGGGCGAGGAGGAGGAGGCCCCGCCGCCGCCUGGCUUGUCCACCGCCAUGGAUUUCUCUCCGAUGCGGCAGGGGUUUGGGGCGGCGAUGUGGCAACAGCAGGAGCGGAGGCGGCAGCGGCGACAGGAGGAGUAGGCGGGGAAGGGAAGAGGCAGGAGGGGGAGGAGAGUGCGGGAGCGGGCGACGGCUAGGGUUCGUCAACUGAGCGACUGAGUUUUAUACAUCUAGACGUGAAAUUAUCAAAAUGCCCCCGGUGGGGCACCGAAUUAACAGGCGAUGGCAUAGCGAUUUAAAGGCGACGUGGAGGCAACGGUUGUGACUACGAGUUUAGAAGGGUUUAUAUGUUCAAUAAAAGGGGUAUAGUUUAGGGAAACGCUUGAGUCACGUAAUCUUGUUAUCGCUGAUUGUGGUUGGGCCUUUUAUCUACGUCCUUGGUAUACUUAAGUCUGUUUAUUGUCAGCAUCAAUGGCCUCUCUCGCCACUUUGCGCUGCAAGCAAAUGAUUAUAACUCGUUCCUUGCACUCUCUCCGGAUCAAAGGCAUUGCUUGGUGAUAUUGAUGUGCAGGUAGCAGUACACUGGAUUUAGCUAGGGCUAUCAAGAAUUAAUUAUAACUUUCAUGUCGAGCGUCAGUUUGUGCAACUAUUACAUGAAGGACGUACUGUGUUGUUGCCUUUCGGUGUUACGUGCAUUCUCUGUUUCUAAAUACAAGACGUUUUGGCAGUUCAAUUGGAGAGAGACAGUUUUUUUUCUUUCUAGAAACAGAACACCAUGCAACAAGAGCAAGUUCUCCCAUGUGAAAAUAGAAUGCACGCAGCAUCUUCACAAAGUAGCAGAGGAUCACUUUGUCCGCACAUAAUAAAGUUAAGUUUGUUCUCGAAGGUAAUACUUUUAUUGUAAUUCCGCAAAAAGAAAAACUUUUAUUGUGCGUACAAAAAAUAUGCCAUAAAAGUCAUUUCCAUUAGUUGGCUUAUUAAGAAAAGUCGAGAAACAUGAAUGGACUAGAGCGGACCUGUCCACGACAACGGGACGGGGCCAGUGAAGCUGAGGCGCAGGAGCUGCCAGCUUGCGUCCAUGGUCCAUAUGCACCCACCAAUUUCCACCAUGCAUGAAAAUAAAGUUUGAAUUGGCACGCCGCACGCACACUGACUAUUGUGGCCACUGACUAGUACGUACUUGCAACGCAUGGUUACACACUCAUGCACGAGUAUAACAUGAGAUGCACCACCCAAGCAGUUUUUGCCAAGAGCACUUGAGAAUCACCAGCAUCCCAACUUGUUUCUUGCAGAGUUCUUGCUUGUGUAUACAUACCAUACCACAGGCCACUGCUGAAUCCAUGGCGAAAUGCUUCCUGGUGCUCGCCUUCUUGGCGUUUCUCCUGCCAGCGGCCUACGCGAUGUGCCACCCUGACGACCUCCAAGCGCCGCGGGGCUUCGCCAGGAAGGUACUUGGAUCUCUCAAAUAAUUCAUUUUGGUCAGUGAGGUACCCAAGGGUUUGACACUACUCAAGGGCCUCACCGUUGUCGGUCGUUCACUAGGUAUUGCUUUCACUAACUUGCUAUUGUAUGUGAAGAGCAAUAGAAGAACACUCCAACAACAACAGCCAAAUACCAUUACUGGGACCAACAACAGUGUCAGAUCUGGGAGUGGUAAUAUUGUAUCUGGGAACAGCAACACUGUCGUAUCUGGGGACAACAACAAUGUUUCUGGGAGCAACAACACAGUCACAUCUGGGAGCAACAAUGUCAUAGUUGACAGCAACCAUGUCGUAACUGGGAACAACAAUACUGUAUCUGGCAGGAACAAUAUGGUAACUGGGAACAAUAAUGUUGUAUCAGGGAGCAACCAUGUCGUGUCCGGGGACAACAAAGUCGUAACUGGCGGUUAAUGACCUGUCAGUGGAUUGAUUUCGGCUUCCCUGGUGCAGCUCAUACAUCCUUGUCCAAGUUCAGUGUGGCUCACAAUUAGUUGGUGGGCCCAUUCGUGCUUGCAACUUCAUGGAUAUAGCAUCCUACCUACUUAAAAUAAAAUUUCCCUAAAUAUCUAUAGAUUUUUUUACAUAAUAAAUGCUGACCUGCACAGCAAUGGCGACUUGCAGCUUAUGUACAAGUUUUCAUCGUGGAUGUCUAGAUGUGGGUAUUUCAUCUCUUCUGUUAUCUGUAAUGUGUGAUGAUUUCCUAUAUAUGAAGAUUGGUCUAUGAAUUAUAAGUGCUCAAUGUCAUCUAGGUAUACACUUCUCACGUGCAACUGUUAACAUUACAUAGAUAAAUGGGAAAUGUUUGGAUGAACGAGAUAGAGCAAAAGAGCAGAGAUUAAUGUUGGCGUCAAGUCGCCCUUAUGUAGUGCUAAACCUUUGUCUACCCCUGCAAAUUAGACUAUGUCUAAGGCUCCUCGUUUCUUUUUGACGAUGCACUUGUGUUGAAGUAUUGGUGCAGUUGACACGUGUCACGGCUAGCCUUGGUCUUUCUAGUAUUGUGGACAUGCGUCAGUGGUGAUGCAUGCAACCACUAGGACGCGGCCGGACAGUUGCUUGGGAGGCCAGUUGCUACGGAAGGUAGCAAAUUUAAUUGAUCCAAUCCUCAAUAGUUGGGAUGGCGAUCUUCUCAGACAUAGUCUAUGACCUAUUGAUGUCCAGUGAGUGCUUGUGAUCACUAUAUCGCAACAUGAUAAGCCAGAUUUCGUAGCUUGAAAUUUCAUAAAAAAAACAGAAAUUUUUUGGUUCAGUCUGCUUAUUUUGUGGAAUGGGACCACCAAUAUGGGAACAAGUUAUGACAUAUCAAUGGGAUGGGACGGGGGAGGAUUUGGAAACUUUCUUGUCCAGCAAAGGUUAAAAUAUUUAUUUGGCAUAUGCUUCAUGGCACUCUUUCGUGCCAUGUUAAGCUAGCUAAUAGACAUGUGAAAGUCUCACCUGACUGUCCUGCUCAUCUGGGCCAGAAGACACAAAGCAUCUGUUGUUUCUAUGCGACAGGGCAAAAAAAGUCUGGAGAAGGCUAGCGAUAGACGAUAUUAUCGAUAGAGCUUGUAAAAAAGAUUAUGCGGGUAAGGCAGUCUUGGAAUAUUUACUUUCAUUGCCAAAUCAGGAACUAUGUAUUAUGGGCACUACGGGUGAGAAAGUCUCAUCGUAGUCAACCCCUUGAACUUCUCGAAAACCUUUUGCAACAAGUCGAGCUUUAUAGACAGUUAUAUUACCAUCAGCGUCAGUCUUCUUCUUAAAGAUCCAUUUAUUCUCAAUGGCUUGCCGAUCAUCGGGCAAGUCAACCAAAGUCCAUACUUUGUUUUCAUACAUGGAUCCCAUCUCAGAUUUCAUGGCUUCUAGCCAUUUUGCGGAAUCCGGGCUCAUCAUCGCUUCCUCAUAGUUCGUAGGUUCAUCAUGGUCAAGUAACAUGACUUCCAUAAUAGGAUUACCGUACCACUCUGGUGCGGAUCUUACUCUGAUAGACCUACGAGGUUCAGUAGAAACUUGAUCUGAAGUUUCAUGAUCAUUAUCAUUAGCUUCCUCACUAAUUGGUGUAGUUGUCACAGGAACUGGUUCUCGUGAUGAACUACUUUCCAAUAAGGGAGUAGAUACAGUUAUCUCAUCAAGUUCUACUUUCCUCCCACUCACUUCUUUCGAGAGAAACUCCUUCUCUAGAAAGGAUCCAUUCUUAGCAAUGAAUAACUUGCCUUCGGAUCUGUGACAGAAGGUGUACCCAAUAGUUACCUUUGGGUAUUCUAUGAAGACGCACUUCUCCGAUUUGGGUUCGAGCUUAUCAGGUUGAAACUUUUUCACAUAAGCAUCGCAGCCCCAAAAUUUAAGAAACGACAACUUUGGUUUCUUGCAAACCACAGUUCAUAAGGCGUCGUCUCAACGGACUUCGAUGGUGCCCUAUUUAAAGUGAAUGCAACUGUCUCUAAUGCAUAACCCCAAAACGAUAGUGGUAAAUUGAUAAGAGACAUCAUAGAUCGCACCAUAUCUAGUAAAGUACGAUUACGACGUUCGGACACACCAUAACGUUGUGGUGUUCCAGGUGGCGUGAGCUGUGAAACUAUUCCACAUUGUUUUAAUUGAAGAUCAAACUCGUAACUCAAAUAUUCGUCUCCGUGAUCAGAUUGCAGAAACUUUAUUUUCUUGUUAUGAUGAUUUUUCCACUUCACUCUGAAAUUCUUUGAACCUUUCAACUAUUUCAGACUUGUGUUUCAUCAAGUAGAUAUACCCAUAUCUGCUCAAAUCAUCUUGUGAAGGUCAGAAAAUAAUGAUACUUGCCACGAGCAUCAACACUCAUUGGACCAUAUACAUCGGUAUGUAUUAUUUCCAUCAAGUCAGUAGCUUGUUCCAUUGUUCCAGAGAACGGAGUUUUAGCCAUCUUGCCCAAAAGGCACGGUUCGCAAGCAUCAAAUGAUUCACAACCAAGUGAUUCCGAAAAUCCAUCUUUAUGGAGUUUCUUCAUGCGCUUUACACCGAUAUGACCCAAACGGCAGUGCCACAAAUAAGUUGCACUAUCAUUAUCAACUUUGCAUCUUUGGCAUCAAUAUUAUGAAUAUGUGUAUUACUACGAUCGAGAUCCAACAAACUAUUUUCAUUGGGUGUAUGACCAUCGAAGGUUUUAUUCAUGUAAAUAGAACAACAAUUAUUCUUUGACUUUAAAUGAAUAACCGUAUCGCAAUAAACAUGAUCAAAUCAUAUUCAUGCUCAACGCAAACGCCAAAUAACAUUUAUUUAGGUUUAACACAAAUCCCGAAAGUAUAGGGAGUGUGCGAUGAUGAUCAUAUCAAUCUUGGAACCACUUCCAAUACACAUCGUCACUUCACCCUCAACUAGUCUCUGUUUAUUCUGUAACUCCUGUUUCGAGUUACUAAUUUUUAGCAACCGAAUAAGUAUCAAAUACUCACGGGCUACUAUAAACACUAGUAAGGUACACAUCAAUAACCUGUAUAUCAAAUAUACCCUUGUUCACUUUGCCAUCCUUCUUAUCCACCAAAUAUUCAGGGCAUUUCCGCUUCCAGUGACCAUUUCCUUUGCAGUGUAAGCACUCAGUUUCAGGCUUUGGUCCAACUUUGGUCUUCUUCACGGGAGUGACAACUUGUUUGCCAUUCUACUUGAAGUUUCCCUUUCUUUCCCUUUGCCCUUUUCUUCAAAACUAGUGGUCUUGUCAAUCAUCAACAUUUGAUGCUCUUUCUUGAUUUCUACCUUCGUCGAUUUCAACAUCACGAAGAGCUUGGGAUUCACUUUCGUCAUCCCUUGCAUAUUAUAGUUCAUCACGAAGUUCUACUAACUUGGUGAUGGUGACUAGAGAAUUCUGUCAAUCACUAUCUUAUCUGGAAGAUUAACUCCCACUUGAUUCAAGCGAUUGAAGUACCCAGACAAUCUGAGCACAUGCUCACUAGUUGAGCGAUUCUCCUCCAUCUUUUAGCUAUAGAACUUGUUAGAGACUUCAUAUCUCUCAACUCGGGUAUUUGCUGGAAAUAUUAACUUCAACUCCUGGAACAUCUCAUAUGGUCCAUGACGUUCAAAACGUCUUUGAAGUCCCGAGUCUAAGCCGUUAAGCAUGGUGCACUAAACUAUCAAGUAGUCAUCAUAUUGAGCUAGCCAAACGUUCAUAACGUCUGCAUCUGCUCCUGCAAUAGGUUUGUCACCUAGCGGUGCAUCAAGGACAUAAUUCUUCUGCGCAGCAAUGAGGAUAAACCUCAGAUCACGGAUCCAAUCGGCAUCAUUGCUACUAACAUUUUUCAACACAAUUUUCUCUAGGAACAUGUCAAAAUAAACAUAUGAAAGCAACAAUACAAGCUAUUGUUCUACAACAUAAUUUGCAAAAUACUACCAGGACUAAGUUCAUGAUAAAUUUAAGUUCAAUUAAUCAUAUUACUUAAGAACUCCCACUUAGACAGACAUCUCUCUAGUCAUCUAAGUGAUCACGUGAUCCAAAUCAACUAAACCAUAACCGAUCAUCACGUGAGAUGGAGUAGUUUUCAAUGGUGAACAUCAUUAUGUUGAUCAUAUCUACUAUAUGAUUCACGCUCGACCUUUCGGUCUCCGUGUUCCGAGGCCAUAUCUGCAUAUGCUAGGCUCGUCAAGUUUUAACCUGAGUAUUCUGCGUGUGCAAAAACUGGCUUGCACCCGUUGUAGAUGGACGUAGAGCUUAUCACACCCGAUCAUCACGUGGUGUCUGGGCACGACGAACUUUGGCAACGGUGCAUACUCAGGGAGAACACUUCUUGAUAAUUUAAGUGGGAGAUCAUCUUAAAAUGCUACCGUCAAUCAAAGCAAGAUAAGAUGCAUAAAAGAUAAACAUCACAUGCAAUCAAUAUAAGUGCUAUGAUAUGGCCAUCAUCAUCUUGUGCUUGUGAUCUCCAUCUCUGAAGCACCGUCGUGAUCACCAUCGUCACCGGCGCGACACCUUGAUCUUCAUCGUAGCAUCGUUGUUGUUUACGCCAUCUAUUACUUCUACGACUAUCGCUACCGCUUAGUGAUAAAGUAAACCAAUUACAGGGCGUUUGCAUUUCAUACAAUAAAGCGACAACCAUAUGGCUCCUUCCAGUUGCCGAUACUUCGGUUACAAAACAUGAUCAUCUCAUACAAUAAAAUAUAGCAUCACGUCUUGACCAUAUCACAUCACAACAUGCCCUGCAAAAACAAGUUAGACGUCCUCUACUUUGUUGUUGCAAGUUUUACGUGGCUGCUACGGGCUUAGCAAGAACCGUUCUUACCUACGCAUCAAAACCACAACGAUAGUUUGUCAAGUUGGUGCUGUUUUAAUCUUCGCAAGGACCGGGCGUAGCCACACUCGGUUCAACUAAAGUGAGAGAGACAGACACCCGCCAGCCACCUUUAAGCACGAGUGCUCGUAACGGUGAAACCAGUCUCGCGUAAGCGUACGCGUAAUGUCGGUCCGGGCCGCUUCAUCUCACAAUACCGCCGAACCAAAGUAUGACAUGCUGGUAAGCAGUAUGACUUGUAUCGCCCACAACUCACUUGUGUUCUACUCGUGCAUAUAACAUCAACGCAUAAAACCAGGCUCGGAUGCCAUUGUUGGGGAACGUAGUAAUUUCAAAAAAUUUCCUACGCACACGCAAGAUCAUGGUGAUGGCAUAGCAAUGAGAGGGGAGAGUGUUGUCUAGUACCCUCGUAGACCGUAAGCGGAAGCGUUAGCACAACGCGGUUGAUGUAGUCGUACGUCUUCACAAUCCGACCGACCCAAGUACCGAACGUACGGCACCUCCGAGUUCAGCACACGUUCAGCUCGAUGACGAUCCCCAGACUUCGAUCCAGCAAAGUGUCGGGGAUGAGUUCCGUCAGCACGACGGCGUGGUGACGAUGAUGAUGUUCUACCAGCGCAGGGCUUCGCCUAAACUCCGCGACGAUAUGACCGAGGUGGAAUAUGGUGGAGGGGGGCACCGCACACGGCUAAGGAACGAUCCGUAGAUCAACUUGUGUCUAUGGGGUGCCCCCUGCCCCCGUAUAUAAAGGAGGGAGGGGGAGGCCGGCCGGCCCUUGUUGGGCGCGCCAGGAGGAGGAGUCCUCCUCCUAGUAGGAGUAGGACUCCUCCUUUCCUACUCCUACUAGGAGGGGAAGGAAGGGGGAGAGGAGGGGAAGGAAAGAGGGGGCGCCGCCCCCCUCCUAGUCCAAUUCGGACCAGAGGGAGAGGGGGCGCGCGGCCCUUCCUGGCCGCCCCUCUCUCUUCCCACCAAGGCCCAUGUGGCCCAUUAACUCUCCGGGAGGGGUUCAGGUAACCCUCCGGCACUCCGGUUUUCUCUGAAAUCACCCGGAACACUUCCGGUGUCCGAAUAUAGUCGUCCAAUAUAUCAAUCUUUAUGUCUCGACCAUUUCGAGACUCCUCGUCAUGUCCGUGAUCACAUCCGAGACUCCGAACAAACUUCGGUACAUCAAAACUUGUAAACUCAUAAUAAAACCGUCAUCGUAACGUUAAGCGUGCGGACCCUACGGGUUCGAGAACUAUGUAGACAUGACCUAGAACUAUUCUCGGUCAAUAACCAAUAGCGGAACCUGGAUGCCCAUAUUGGUUCCUACAUAUUCUACGAAGAUCUUUAUCGGUCAAACCGCAUAACAACAUACGUUGUUCCCUUUGUCAUCGGUAUGUUACUUGCCCGAGAUUUGAUCGUCGGUAUCUAAUACCUAGUUCAAUCUCGUUACCGGCAAGUCUCUUUACUCGUUCUGUAACACAUCAUCUUAUAACUAACUCAUUAGUUACAAUGCUUGCAAGGCUUAGGUGAUGAGUAUUACCGAGAGGGCCCAGAGAUACCUCUCCGACAAUCGGAGUGACAAAACCUAAUCUCGAAAUACGCCAACCCAACAUGUACCUUUGGAGACACCUGUAGUACUCCUUUAUAAUCACCCAGUUACAUUGUGACGUUUGGUAGCACCCAAAGUUUUCCUCCGGUAGAUGGGAGUUGCAUAAUCUCAUAGUUACAGGUACAUGUAUAAGUCAUGAAGAAAGCAAUAGCAACAUACUAAACGAUCAAGUGCUAGGCUAACGGAAUGGGUCAAGUCAAUCACAUCAUUCUCCUAAUAAUGUGAUCCCAUUAAUCAAAUGACAACACAUGUCUAUAGUUAGGAAACAUAACCAUCUUUGAUUAAUGAGCUAGUCAAGUAGAGACAUACUAGUGACUUUAUGUUUGUCUAUGUAUUCACACGUGUAUCAUGUUUCCGGUUAAUACAAUUCUAGCAUGAAUAAUAAACAUUUAUCAUGAUAUGAGGAAAUAAGUAAUAACUUUAUUAUUGCUUCUAGGGCAUAUUUCCUUCACCAUCGCCAUCCGAUCUCAUCUCGAAGGCCGAAUUUGUAUUCGAAAUACUGAGAUUUUGUAUCCGGAGCACUGUUCGGCCGAUUACGCCUCAAGAACGUCCUCAAAUGAGAAAACUUUCUACACGGAUUGUCUUCGUCUCCUCGAAAUAGUCGAUUUUGAUAUAAAAAGUAUUAAUCCGAGGUCGUAUGUAAAAGUUUGAGCCAUUCAAGUGCAGCCCUGCCAUCACGCAAAAAGUCGUCUGCCCAAUCAGACAUGUGUCUGAUAGGUAGGGCCACCAAUUGUUUAUUUUGCGCAAGCGUUUCGGCCCACGUGACGACCUUGAAUCAAAAAACGUUCCACACAAAAGUUGUUCGUCUUGUCGAAACGGUCAAGUUUACUUUUUGGUUCAUCUUCAUCUUAGGUCGUUUGUGGCCUAUGGGACCUAAAAACCGAAUGUUGUCCGAGAUUUAAUUAAAUCCGAGUUCGGUUAAUUUUGGAAAGAUUUGGACGUGAUUUGGAGUCCUUUUGUUGUACGGGGAGUCCAUUCGCCUCUUAUAUUGACAAGAGUUGAUGGCCGAUUGAACAACACACAAUCGCAAAACCCAUCUACAAACUUUCAUCUCAUAUCCUAGUUUUCUGCUUCUCGUUCAUCGGUGUUUGUCGCUUUGGAGAGCUCUGAUCUACGAAGUCCUAGGGACGGGCGAACCGACCUAGGGCAGCCCAUCACCGCCGUGCGUCCAGACGGGGUCUCUCCCGGCCGCGUGGGGUUUCAGGUCUUCAAAAGCGCUCGCCGGAUUGUCUUGCGUAUCGCGCUUCCGGUGAGCCUCCUUCGGCGACGUGUCUUGCGUAUCACGCUCGACGCUGAUGGUACACAUUGACGUGUUCGUUUGUGAACAUGACCAAGGCGUGUAUGCAAUCUCGUCGGCGCUAGUCUCUCAAGGGUUGACGGAUCCUAGGAUUCUCGAAGCACUUGCAUGUCGGGAAACACUCUCUCUCUCUCUCUCUCUCUCUCUCUCUCUCUCUCUCUCUCGCAAAGAACCUCAUGGUGUAGCAGAUCAAAAUUGCUUCAGAUUGUAAGUCAGUGGUGCAGGACAUAAAUGGAGGCACUUUGGGGCCUAUUGCUCCGAUUGUGAAUGAGAUACAUGCUACUAGUAGCAACUUUAUUUCAUGUAAUUUUGUUUUUGAAGGUCGGCUCUUCAAUAUGGAGGCACGUAGUUUAGCAAAACAUGCUUUACAUCUAGAUGAGCGUCAUGGUAUACUCACGGCAGAUGCCAUGGGUAGGCUUAUCGAACAUGGUUGGGGCCAAAGGACGUCGGCGGGUUCCGGAAGCGAGAUUGAGGACAAGUGAUCUGCGACACACGAUGUAUCCAGGUUCGGGGCCCUCUGUGGAAGGUAACACCUAGUCCUACAAGAUCUACUAGACGUAUCACAAGAGGGCUACAAUGAUGCUCCUUGAGUUGUGUUGAAUGGAGGAGGAAGAAGAGCUAGCUCUCUCCUUCUCCAUGGAAAAAUGUGUGUGUGUGGGUGGGUGGUGGAUAUGGACAUGUGAACCGAAGGGGAGCCGCCCCUCUGCAUGGAGGGCUCCUGGGGGGUCUUAUAGGCCGACCCCCAUGGUACAAUGGUAAAUCUACACGGGAGCGGGCCCCAGUGUCAUAGUGUUGGUCUUCGCGUGGGCCCCGCCGACAGGGCGUCAUUGUGGCACAUCUCCGGUCACAUCACAGAGUAGUUGGAACAGUGCCGGGCCGUGCGGACGCCGCUCGCCCGGGCAGCGGAGCGGCGCUCACUGUAGCCGCACCUCCUCCGUCAACGGGGAGGGGUGCACUGUUGCCAUGCUCCUCCGCCGUGGAGGGGUUGUCUUGUCGUACGACUGCGGGAUUGAGGGGCACUUGCUGCACUGAUGCUUUUGAAAAUCGUUCAAUGUGGAUGCGCCUACCUAGGGNNNNNNNNNNNNNNNNNNNNNNNNNNNNNNNNNNNNNNNNNNNNNNNNNNNNNNNNNNNNNNNNNNNNNNNNNNNNNNNNNNNNNNNNNNNNNNNNNNNNUCAGAUCCCUCGGUAGGGGUCCAAGCGCGGCUGGAAGUCAUGGAUCAUAGGUCACAUGAGCGGUUUAUCCAGGUUCAGGCCUCCGGAGAAUAAUACCCUACGUCCUGCUGGUUUUGGUUAUUCAUAGUGAAGGGAUACCUCAUGCGAGGUUUACAAUAGUGUAUGAUGUUACUACCAAGAGUUCUCCUGUCUGAAGAUGGAUUCUCAAGAGGAACCCUAGACUCCCUUUAUAUAGACAGGAGAGGCCUAGGGUUUACAUGUUGGAUGCCAUAUGGGGCACCGCUGCCCUCUACUCUUGGGCGUCAUGAAAGUCAUGGGCCCACUGGGCCCCCUUGUAGCUGAUGAGGUCGGGCUCCUUGGCAGUAGCCACCCCUGGUACAAGACCCCGUUAGUAGCCCCCGAGCGUGGCGGAGGUCAUAGGGAGGGCCAUGAGACCUCCGGCGGGCUCCUUUGAGGACUCGCCUCUUUGAAGCCUGGCUACAACGUCAUCAUCUUGAUGGCCUGAGUACGUCUUUAUGCUUGUCAUUUGGAGAGGCCUCCAGUUAAUGUCGUUGCACCCACAGGUCUAGUCGCCCUGAUUCUGAUUUUGACAGAAGAGGGGGCACCACUUUUAACUUCAAACCGCCACGUGGACGAAGGGACUGAGCCGGGUCGAUGCACUACUCUUCGUGGUAACCUUGCCUUGAUUCCCACGUCUGCAAGUUGUGAAUUGGAACCACCCAUAGGUAGUGGGGUACGUGGCAUGCGGAGAAGUAUCGAUUCCCGGCUCGCUUGCAGUGAGUCAUAAGAGCAAAUGGGGAAUACAUGCGUCAUUUCACCAUUGCCCGCCUCCUCUUGCUUCUGCUUCCUUGUGCCUCCGCCUUUGCAUCCCCUUCCCCACCGCCAUAGCGAUGUUCAUCGUCUUCGGGAGCGCCGCUUCUUCCCCUGAGCGACGAGAGAUGGGCCAGUCAGGUUCCUCGGCCGGCGCCGGAAGUGUGCGGGCGACCCGGGAAGCGGAGAAGAAGCGGGAAGCAGAGAGUUCAUGUGAUGCCAUUGAGGCAUAGCCCCGUGUCUAGGUCUUCACCAGCUGGUGGACUCGCUUCAUCAUCUCCGACGGGGAGGUCCGUAAGUUGAUAGCGGAGGGGUCAUUCCUAUCAAACCUCAGGUAUUGUAUUCCCCUUUCUGCGAAGGAAUUCCCUGCGCCGCCGGACGGCAUGGACGUCCUUCAUUUAGACUUCUUCGGGCGAGGCCUCGGCUUCACCUUGCACACCUAUGUGUGGGGUCUCCUUUUCUUCUUUGGCAUCCAACUCCACCAUCUCAACCCCUAUAGCAUUCUGCACCUCGCGAACUUCAUCACCUUCUGCAAGUGCUUUCUUGGGGCUGCUCCCCACUUUGACCACUUCCGACGCCUCUUCUUCGUCAAAGGUCAAAUGAGUGGUGGCUCCGUUGGCGACAUUGGUGGGGCUAGCCUCCAGCGGCAACCCCGCUCCCCCUAUUUUCCCAUGGCCUUCGCAAGAGUGAUGGGGGCCUGGCAAAUAAGUGGUUCUAUGUAUUUGGCCUUGAGUCUGACCUGCCGGCCUUCUCCGGUGAGUCCCCGCCACGUCUGGACUCCUAGGAGUCGGCAAUCGAUCUCCCGGACAGCACGGGGCUGCUGUUGCAAGCAACCGCGCUCCUGAAGGACGAUGGUCUAACCGGCGUCCAGAUUGCACGGACCUGGGUGGAGUGUCGGGUGCUCCCUCUGCAGGCUCGUGCUGGCUGUUAGGGCUAGAGGCCGACAAGGUACCCAUGGAGGUCGUGGUGGAGCCUUUCAGCCGUGCUGCCCCGUCGAAGGAGGUACGUUCUUCUGACCUCUCCUCGGGUUAAGGUGGGAGGUCGGGCAGUUAUUUAUGACCUUCGUUGUCUUUGAUUAUCGCCGUAGUUUGCAGGGUUCGCUGCUAUGCUUUCGGAGCCCCCGCUUCUGUGGCAAGACUCGAGCUCGGAGACGCGGGCAAUUUUGCAACCUGUCAUGAAUCACCCCCAUCCCCCUCCUCGAAAAGGAAAGAGGACCACUUCUUCUGCGGACGAUGGGGCCGACUGCGGGGUGCCCAAUGGCGGCUCCAGACUAGGUGACGUCUCGUCCCUGCCCUCUAGGGAGGAGACGAAGAGGCCGAUGUGGCAGCUCGCGGGAGCCCAGAGGAGGCCGUCAUUGCCGAGGAGGUGUCCAAGCAAGCACCUCCUAAAGGUGGCCCUUCGGAGGCCGAGCUGGCAGCCUCGUGAUACCACUACCGAAAUGACCUACUAUGCCGACGGCCCAGGGCCGUCGGCAUAGGCCCAAACCCCAUCGGCAAAGGGCUAUGUCGACGGCUGCUGUCGGGAUCAUUUGCUUUGGCGUAUCCCUGUCAAUCAUUGGCAUAGAAAAGUCGUCGGCAUAGACGCCCAUUGAUACGUCUCCAUCGUAUCUAUAAUUUUUGAUUGUUCCAUGCCAAUAUUAUUCAACUUUUAUAUACUUUUGGCAACUUUUUAUACUAUUUUUUGGGACUAACAUAUUGAUCCAGUGCCCAGUGCCAGUUCCUAUCUGUUGCAUGUUUUUUGUUUCGCAGAAACCCAAUAUCAAACGGAGUCCAAACGGGAUAAAAACGGACGGAGAAUUAUUUUGAAAUAUUUGUGAUUUUUGGGAGGAAGAAUCAACGCGAAACGGUGCCCGAGGUGGCCACGAGAGUGGCCCACGCCACCACUCCAGGUGGGCGCACCCCCCUAUCUCGUGGGCCACCCGUAAGGCGGUUGAUGCCCUUCUUUGGCCGCAAGAAAGCUAAUUUUUGGAAAAUGAUCUGGGCGAAGGUUUCAAUCCAAUCGGAGUUACGGAUCUCCAGAUAUAAAGGAAACGGUGCCAGGGUAGAAUUGGAGAACGCAGAAACAGAGAGAUAGAUCCAAUCUCGGAGGGGCUCUCGCUCCUCCCACGCCAUGGGAGCCAAGGACCAGAGGGGAAACCCUUCUCCCAUCUAGGGAGGAGGUCAAGGAAGAAGAAGAAGAAGAAGAAGGGGGCCUCUCUCCCCCUAGCUUUCGGUGGCGCCGGAAUGCCGCCGGGGGCCAUCAUCAUCACCACGAUCUUCACCAACACCUCCACCAUCUUCACCAGCAUCUCCAUCACCUUCCCCCUUCUAUAUUCAGCGGUCCACUCUCCCGCAUUCCGCCGUACCCUCUACUUGAACAUGGUGCUUUAUGCUUCAUAUUAUUUUCCAAUGAUGUGUUGCCAUCCUAUGAUGUCUGAGUAGAUUUUCGCUGUCCUACCGGUGAUUGAUGAAUUGCUAUGAUUGGUUUAAUUUGCUUGUGGUUAUGUUGAUGUCCUAUUGUGCCCUCCGUGUCGCACAAGCGUGAGGGAUUCCCGCUGUAGGGUGUUGCAAUACGUUCAUGAUUCGCUUAUAGUGGGUUACUUGAGUAACAGAAGCAUAAACCCGAGUAAGGGGAUUGUUGCGUAUGGGAUAAAGGGGACUUGAUACUUUAAUGCUAUGGUUGGGUUUUACCUUAAUGAAUCUUUAGUAGUUGCGGAUGCUUUCUAGAGUUCCAAUCAUAAGUGCAUAUGAUCCAAGUAGAGAAAGUAUGUUAGCUUAUGCCUCUCCCACAUAAAACUUGCUAUCGGUCUAGUAACGUAGUCAAUUGCUUAGGGAAAAUUUCACAACUCCUACCAUCACUUUUCCAUACUCGCUAUAUUUACUUUAUUGCAUCUUUAUCUAAACAGCCCCUAGUUUUUAUUUACGUACUCUUUAUUAUCUUGCAAACCUAUCAUAUCGCACCUACAAAGUACUUCUAGUUUCAUACUUGUUCUAGGUAAAGCGAACAUCAAGCAUGCGUAGAGUCGUAUCAGUGGCCGAUAGGACUUGAGAGAUUAUUUGUUCUACCUUUAGAUCCUCGUUGGGUUCGACACUCUUACUUAUCGAAAGAGGCUACAACUAUCCCGUAUACUUGUGGGUUAUCAAGACCUUUUUCUGGCGCCGUUGCCGGGGAGUCAUAGCGUGGGGUGAAUAUUCUCGUGUGUGCUUGUUUGUUUUAUCACUAAGUAAUUUUUUGUUGUUGUUCCUAAUUGUUCUCUAUCUUUAGUUAUGGAUAUGGAACAUGAAAUACCAAAAAAAUUAGGUGUAGAUGCUACUCAUGGAGAUGGGGAACCUCCUAAAACCCUCGAUGCUUGUUAUGUGAAAGAAAUUAUGUACUACUUUAAUAAUCCUGAAAAAACCCCAUUCCGUUAUGUUAUGGGAGACACGUUGGAUCAACGUAAAUACUUUAGGGAUUAUCGCUUGACACAAAAAGGGAAACUAUUAUGGGAUCAAAUUUCUAUGUUGUGUUGGUAUGCUCGUCAACUACGCGUGAUACAUGAUUAUACUUGUUGCUCUAGGAUGAAGGCUCCACACCUUCCCUUUUCAUGCAAAUUCAAUGAUAAUGAAACCUUAGAUUCUUAUGCUAAUGGUAUCUAUGAUUAAUAUGAUGUGGAACAAAUAGAAGAAUUUUUUGCUUUUAUGGGUGCUUAUGAGGUUGAAUCUAUGUUUAAAGUGUUUGAUGAUUUUGAUGAUUCAGUUUAUAUACCAGAAAAUCUUGCUAUACUUAGAUAUUGCUAUGAAAAAUAUGAAUACAAUUACUAUAUUAAUGCAUUUAUUGAGAAAUUCUCCGCUAUCCAAGAAGAGAUUAAUAUUUUGCAGGAAACUAUGGAAGAAUAAAUUGAUGAAACUGUGAGCUCAUUAGAUGAAAAAGAUGAUGAGGAGAGCGAAGAACAAAAGGAGGAAGAGCGGAUUGAUCACCCGUGCCCGCCUUCUAAUGAGAGUAACUCUUCAACUCAUACAUUGUUUAAAUCCCCUUCGUGCUUACCGAAGGAUGAUUGAUAUGAUCCCGUUGAUUCUCUUGAAAUAUCCCUUUUUGAUGAUGCUUGCUAUGCUUGUGGCCAAGAUGCCAAUAUGAAUUAUGCUUAUGGAGAUCAACUUGCUAUAUUUCCUUAUGUUAAACAUGAAAUUGUUGCUAUUACACCCACGUAUGAUAGUCCUAUUAUCUUUUUGAAUUCUCCCGACUACACUAUAUCGGAGAAGUGUGCGCUUAGUAAGGAUUAUAUUGAUGGGUUGCCAUUUACCAUUGCACAUGAUGAUUUUGAUGAAUGUAAUAUGCAUGUGCUUGCUGCUCCUACUUGCAAUUAUUAUGAAAGAGGAACUACAUCUUCGCCUCUUUAUGUUUCCAAUACGAUAGAAUUUCAAGAAACUGCUUAUACUAUGCAUUGGCAUUUACUAUGUGUGCAUGAAUUGUUCUUUUAUGACAUGCCGAUUCAUAAGAAGAGAGUUAGACUUCGUCGUUGCAUGAUAUAUGUUACUUUGUGCUCACUACUAAAGUACAAAUCAUUGUUAAUUAAAAUUGGCUUUGAUAUACCUUGGGAUCCGGGUGGAUUCAUUACUUGAGCACUAAAUGCAACCUAAAUUUUGUAGGCAUAUAAGGCAUUUGUCGAGCAUAGGAAUCUUGAGGUGAGGGAGUACUUGCAACGAGUGAAGGCAAACGAUGAUUACAACCGUCAAGCGAUGACAGUUAGUUUUGCCCGCUUAAACCCAAGCUAAAAUUUGCAGUUCCAUUCCUUCUGACCUUCUAGUUUGCUUGUUUAACUAACAUCUAGGCUAUGUUGGCGUCUUGGACUAACCGCACGAAGCCACCACAAAUUGGAACCCCACCACCACCUGCGGGAGAACCCCCACACAUGCCCACGUUCGAUGAAUGGGUGGCACUAGGCAGUGAUAGUCCGGUUAGUACAUUUGCCUUAACUAGUUCCCGUUCAUUCAACACUAUCAUAUCAUAUUUACCGUUAGAAUCAUCUCUCAAACAUGUAGGGGACCGGUGGCUCGACUCCUGCUACGUCGACCCCAGUCACUCCGAUCUGGCAGAGUGGUGGUGGUCGCGGUGGCGGUUUUGGCGGUGGCGGUUUUGGCGGCGGCGGUCUUGCUUGAUGUCGAUGUGGUUUGGGCGGAGGCGGUCUGUGCAUGUGGCCAUCGUGCCAUACCUUUCAUGUUCCAUGUCGUACACUAUUUAUGUUCAUGAACUUUCACCAGUGAUGAUCUUUAGAUGAUGAAUUUGACUAUGUUUAAAUGAUGAUGAUGAACUUUAGUAUGUUUAGAUGAUGAACUGUCAUAUUUCUGCAUAAUCUCACAUUAUUCUGCUCUGAAAUGCUGUCAAAUGAAUUGAAAAAGAGAAAACAGGGAAAAUAAAAAAAACUAUGCCUACGGCAAAGCCGUCGGCAUAGAUGAGCCCAGGGCUUCCCGGGGCGUGACACGUGGCAGGGCUAUGCCUACGGCAAAGCCGACGGCAUAGGGAACGACACGUGGCAGGAAUAUGCCGACGGCAAAGCCGUCGGCAUAUCCCUGCCACGUGUCGUUCCCUUAGUCGUCAGCGCUUUGGACGGCACUGCCCGUUACCGUCAGGCGAAAAACACCGCCGACGGCUAAACUAUGCCGACGGCUGGCCCUCGGCCGUCGGCAUAGGCACCUAUGCUGAUGGCUAUACUAUGCCGACGGUCUAACACAUCUACAUUGACGUGAUCUAUGCCGACGGGGCUAUGCCGACGGCAGCCGUAAGCAUAGAUCUAUGCCGACGGCCCUGGGCCGUCGACAUAGGCCGCGAGUCCGGUAGUGAAUGGGCUAAAGCCUUGUACGUGAAGACUGGGGCUGGGCUUCUGUGUAUCACAAAUUCUCAAAUAUUUGCAACUUAUAUGUUCAAGUGCUAGUUGGCCCACGCCUAGGGCUACAGCCCCAGUUGUCCCAGGCCCAAUUUCCCCCCUCGUACAUCCAACACAUGGUUACACACACUCAUGCACGAGUAUAAGAUGAGGUGCACCACCCAAGCAGUUUUUGUCAAGAGCACUUGAGAAUCACCAGCAUCCCAAACUGGCUUCAGGAUGCCGUGUCCACAGCUCCACUGCGGCGUGGCAAGACACCACCUGGAUAGCCAUCUCGUGCCACAAUGUGGUUAGCAGGUAGGAGAACACAUGUUGAUCUUGCGCGUACCACAUGGUGAAGUCGUCCAGCAAACAUGACAGAGGGGAAAUAGUCUUGCCGUCGUCGGAGGUGACCCCAAUGGUCAUGGGCGGCUUCUCAGUGUAUAGUCUGCCAUUUGCGCCCCCUAAUGGCAGAGGUGAAGGUAGCGCACCAUUGAACAUUGUUCCCUUUCAUAAGCCUCUCGGUUGCAGCGUGAACAAAUGGAGAGGAGGGGAAGGAUAGUCAUGUGAGUUUACAUUGUCCGGUUAUCCCAUGUCUGCUUUGUAAGAGGGCUUCCUCAUUAUCUUGUACCGUUCUGUUGCAUAAUUUGGUUUCUUCUUUAUCUAUAAUGCAGGGCAAAUGCUUGUUUCGAGAGGUUUUCUUCCACCAUGUUCAGUUCCAUUCGAACAUGCUUUCCAAGAUGGCACAGAUGUAAGACCGACACGUCUCAACAUGCCAUUAGCUCUAUACUCCCUCCGUUCCUUAAUAUAAGGUGUAUUAGUUUUUCAGAAAGUCAAACAUUGUCUAUGUUUGACCAACUUUAUAGCAAAAUCUAUAAGGAUUUACAAUAUUGAACAUGUAAAAUAUCAAAAUAUAUUUCAUGGUGAAGCUAGUGACAAUGAUUUGGUAUUCAAGACAUUGAUAUUUUUGUCUAAAAACUUGGUCAAACUUAGAGAAGUUUGACUUUAAAAAAAAAUAAUACAUCUUAUAUUUAGGAACGGAGGGAGUAGUUGUUAAGAUGUGGCUACAUUUUCAACACUCAACUAUUAGGCUUAACCAGAAGGCAUAUCUUGUGUUGUAGGCACUUGUAGAGGUCUUAGAAGCAGCUCUGCGGCUCGAUCAAACCAGUUGUUGUGCUUUGCACAUUGCCACAUUCUGUGCACUUCCUACUGGGUACGUAUGGAGUUGAAAGUCAUGCCUAUUGGUGCCGCCGAAGAGCCAUAGAUACUGAUUUAUCUCACAACAUUCAUGUUGAUGGCUGAAGUCUACGUGCAAAUAGUACAGAGUGAGAAAAACUGCAAUCAGGAUGACGUUUAUAUACACAUUGGAUGCACGUUGUGUUCCCAUUACCUAGCCUGGGCGGUCAAUGUUGUGGGUGCAGUAGUGCUGAUCAAUCAGGAAGGGAUUCUGCACGCUUGACAUGUUGUAAUGCAUGAAUGUGACUUGCUUCACCGUGAUCAGCUUGGAAUUAACCCAUAUUUUGAUCUUAACCUCGUUUCUAGUGUCGUCGGCACACACCGUCACGUUAUUCACCGACUCGUAGUCUAACCCCUGCUGGUGACUUAGACUCCUAAGGGCAUGUACAAUGUUUUGAUAAGAUAGUCUUAUCUUAAUUUUUCCAUGUAAUUUAGAGAUAACAAAAAAAAAACAAAUCUACAAUGAGUCAUCUCUUAGCCUUGUCUCCAAUAACUAGCUAUUUCUAAAAACGUGUUGAAACAACUAAGAGAUCAUUUCUUGUCUUUUCUUAAAUAAGAGAAGACAAGUCUUUCUUAUGAUUUCUCUCUCCUCCACCUCAUCAUUUAUCCUACAUGACAUUCUAAAGAUAGUACCAUUGUACAUGCCCUAAUAUUAGUCGAGAUAAAAAAUAGAACGAAAUAAUUUGUUAGCCAAGGGGGGCUAUGGCCCCCAUACCCUCGAGAAUUAUGUGAAAUACCAUUAGUUAAGCUAAAAUCUUGAAGAUUGUCAAAGUUUAAGUUGAAUUUGUCAUUAUGGCCCCCUCAAGUCUGCUUGACCCCACCAAUAAUCUUUGGCAAGCUCCACCACUAAUUGGGAUGAUCUUUUGAUCAACGAGGGAAGCCCUCCAUUCGGGUUCGGGUAGUACAAUACGGCUCGGUGGAUGAUCCAAGGGGCCAUCAACCUUGUGGUGAAUGCAGUUGUAGAAGUCUUAGAAGCAGCUCAACGGCUCGAUUAAACCAGCUGUUGUGCCCUACACAUUCUCACAAUAAGCUGUGUUGGUUUUCUCGUGAUUGUUUUAGCUCAAUGCCCUUCUUGCAGAAGAAUGCCACUUCAGGAGUACGUACAGUUACAGUUGAAAGUCAUGGCUGGUGGCGGUGCCGAAAAGUUGUUGAUACUACUGUAUGUCUGUAUCUCAGGUCGCCGAUGCUGAUGGUUGAAGUCUGCGUGCAAAUAACACAGACCGAGAAAACAUCAACCAUUAUGAUGUUUAUAUACAUCGAUGCACGUACGUGUUCCCAUUACCUAGCCGAGGCAGUCAAUGUUGCAGCGGAGUAAUAGAUGGAAAAAAAGAAACAAAGCCCACAGACCAACUAGGAACUAGGAGAUCACAUGAAGGAAGGCCUAUUUAUAACCCACGAAAAGAUCAGAGGAGAAAACGGAAAGGAACACCAAACCGCUAGCGGUUUCUGGACUGAACGAAUAAAGCGGCACCGAUCAAGGCAGCGAUUGCAACUACGCGUGGACCCUGGCGAGACGCACACACGAGCGAGCAAUCACGCGGCAGCGAUAACAAAGCCCACCCAUGUCGGCCCACACAUGCACCCAUCUAGGCAAGAGAACACAUGCAAUUAGGUCAACAGGACAGGGGUGGCCCACAUGCACCCAAAUUUAAUACACCAAAUAGCUAGACGCACACGCGGGAGUACACACGACGUUAACAAAAAUUACGACCGGGCGCCUAGAGUCACACACGAUUCUAUCCCGUAGGAUCAGUGGCGGACCCAGGAAUCGAAGUUUGCCGGGGCGAACAAUUAGAUCUAAAAAAAUUGGACAUGAAAAGCAAGUCUACUGAACCAAAAUUUAUAAAUUCAAAUACCAAACACAUGAUAAAGCAUAAAAGUGUCUUAGAAACUACUACUCCCUCUCUAUUUACAUGGUCUUCUUUUUUUUGUGAUUAAAAUUUUGACAGUAAAUCAACAAUAAUAUAUGAAUUAUAUAUCAUAAAAAGUACACAGUUGAAAACUAUUUUUCAAUAUGAAUUGGAUGGUAUAGUUUUUGUGACAUAUAACCUACAUUUUAUUGGUCAAAGUACUGGAUUGGUUUUUAUUUUUUAUUUUUUAGGACAUGAUUGAUUUUUUUUUUUGAGAAAACAUGAUUGAUAGUGUUUUUGUUAGGACAUGAUUGAUUUUUUUUUGAGAAAACAUGAUUGAUAGUUUGGUGGCUGUGUGUGUGUGUGGACGUUUGGUGAGAUCUAAAUUGGGCCCAAUCGCUGCAGCUUAGUCUGUGGACUCCAGCCCAAGCCCAAUUCCUCCCUCCCUCAACCUCAAGUCACCCACCCCUUCACAGAAAGACGCACGCAGCCGAGCCGCCAUGAACUGCUAGCCGCCGGAGGAAAACUGAGAGGGCCGGACGAAGGAUAGGCAGCGGGGGUCGGUGCUCCGCCGCCGGAGACCCGGGGCGGCCGCCCCAGCUCGCCCCAAUGGUAGAUCCGCCACUGCGUAGGAUCCCAAACAUUUGCAUGUGUCAUGCGUCGAUAGGUGGCUAGUUUCAACCAGACCAAGUUGUGAGACGUGGUGAAGAAGAAUUUGUUGGAAAUAGGGUUGGGGUAUUAGAGGUAAUAUCACCAGUGAUGCUUGAACUUGACAUGAUGUUCACUUUAAUGCCUGAAUUUGAAAUAUACGUUAAACUGAUUUUAAACUUGGCAUGAACAUACAAAUACGGUGGUAAUUUCAUAUGUAGUUGUAAAAUGUGCUGAUGUGGCACGCUAUUUAGCUGACAUGGCAUGUGUGUCCAUUUCUAGCAAAGGAACAUGAUUUUAGUUAAAUAUUGUGUCUUUAUGACUAUUGGGCCCUGCCUGUAAGUAGAGACGGAAAAUCAAAAUGAAAAAUGGUGCCCUAUAGGUAUCAAAAAUGCGACCUGAAGCGUGAGAGCAACCUGUGUGCUAGCCACUCCAAUACAUAACUAUAUGUUUUAAAGCGGCCCCUUAUCCUUGACAUGGUGAAUAAAAAUUAAGAUGGUCUUAAAUGGAGAAGUGAUCUACAUGAAAAAGUUCCGUAUUAUUGACAUAAACAUCUUCAAAGUUUGGGCCAUCUGUUGGGCGACAUAGUAAUUUCAAAAAAUUUCCUACGCACACGCAAGAUCAUGGUGAUGGCAUAGCAACGAGAGGGGAGAGUGUUGUCCACGUACCCUCAUAGUCCGUAAGCGGAAGCGUUAGCACAACGCGGUUGAUGUAGUCGUACGUCUUCACGAUCCGACCGAUCCAAGUACCGAACGUACGGCACCUCCGAGUUCAGCACACGUUUAGCUCGAUGACGAUCCCCGGACUCCCAUCCAGCAAAGUGUCGGGGAUGAGUUCCGUCAGCACGACGGCAUGGUGACGAUGAUGAUGUUCUACCGGCGCAGGGCUUCGCCUAAACUCCGCGACGAUAUGACCGAGGUGGAAUAUGGUGGAGGGGGACACCGCACACGGCUAAGGAACGAUCCGUAGAUCAACUUGUGUCUAUGGGGUGCCCCCUACCCCCGUAUAUAAAGGAGGGAGGGGGAGGCCGGCCGGCCCUUGUUGGGCGCGCCAGGACGAGGAGUCCUCCUCCUAGUAGGAGUAGGACUCCUCCUUUCCUACUCCUACUAGGAGGGGAAGGAAGGGGGAGAGGAGGGGAAGGAAAGAGGGGGGCGCCGCCCCCCCUCCUAGUCCAAUUCGGACCAGAGGGAGAGGGGGCACGCGGCCCUUCCUGGCCGCCCCUCUCUCUUCCCACCAAGGCCCAUGUGGCCCAUUAACUCUCUGAAAUCACCCGGAACACUUCCGGUGUCCGAAUAUAGUCGUCCACUAUAUCAAUCUUUAUGUCUCGACCAUUUCGAGACUCCUCGUCAUGUCCGUGAUCACAUCCGAGACUCGAACAAACUUCGGUACAUCAAAACUUGUAAACUCAUAAUAAAACCGUCAUCGUAACGUUAAGCGUGCAGACCCUACGGGUUCGAGAACUAUGUAGACAUGACCUAGAACUAUUCUCUGUCAAUAACCAAUAGCGGAACCUGGAUGCCCAUAUUGGUUCCUACAUAUUCUAUGAAGAUCUUUAUCGGUCAAACCGCAUAACAACAUACGUUGUUCCCUUUGUCAUCGGUAUGUUACUUGCCCGAGAUUUGAUCGUCGGUAUCUAAUACCUAGUUCAAUCUCGUUACCGGCAAGUCUCUUUACUCGUUCUGUAACACAUCAUCUUAUAACUAACUCAUUAGUUAUAAUGCUUGCAAGGCUUAGGUGAUGAGUAUUACCGAGAGGGCCCAGAGAUACCUCUCCGACAAUCGGAGUGACAAAACCUAAUCUCGAAAUACGCCAACCCAACAUGUACCUUUGGAGACACCUGUAGUACUCCUUUAUAAUCACCCGUUACAUUGUGACGUUUGGUAGCACCCAAAGUUUUCCUCCGGUAAAUGGGAGUUGCAUAAUCUCAUAGUUACAGGUACAUGUAUAAAUCAUGAAGAAAGCAAUAGCAACAUACUAAACGAUCAAGUGCUAGGCUAACGGAAUGGGUCAAGUCAAUCACAUCAUUCUCCUAAUAAUGUGAUCCCAUUAAUCAAAUGACAACACAUGUCUAUAGUUAGGAAACAUAACCAUCUUUGAUUAAUGAGCUAGUCAAGUAGAGGCAUACUAGUGACUUUAUGUUUGUCUAUGUAUUCACACGUGUAUCAUGUUUCCGGUUAAUACAAUUCUAGCAUGAAUAAUAAACAUUUAUCAUGAUAUGAGGAAAUAAGUAAUAACUUUAUUAUUGCUUCUAGGGCAUAUUUCCUUCACCAUCGCCAUCCGUUCUCAUCUCGAAGGCCGAAUUUGUAUUCGAAAUACUGAGAUUUUGUAUCCGGAGCACUGUUCGGCCGAUUACGCCUCAAGAACGUCCUCAAAUGAGAAAACUUUCUACACGGAUUGUCUUCGUCUCGUCGAAAUAGUCGAUUUUGAUAUAAAAAGUAUUAAUCCGAGGUCGUAUGUAAAAGUUUGAGCCAUUCAAGUGCAGCCCUGCCAUCACGCAAAAAGUCGUCUGCCCAAUCAGACAUGUGUCUGAUAGGUAGGGCCACCAAUUGUUUAUUUUGCGCAAGCGUUUCGGCCCACGUGACGACCUUGAAUCAAAAAACGUUCCACAAAAAAGUUGUUCGUCUUGUCGAAACGGUCAAGUUUACUUUUUGGUUCAUCUUCAUCUUAGGUCGUUUGUGGCCUAUGGGACCUAAAAACCGAACUGUUGUCCGAGAUUUAAUUAAAUCCGAGUUCGGUUAAUUUUGGAAAGAUUUGUACGUGAUUUGGAGUCCUUUUUUUGUACGGGGAGUCCAUUCGCCUCUUAUAUUGACAAGAGUUGACGGCCGAUUGAACAACACACAAUCGCAAAACCCAUCUACAAACUUUCAUCUCAUAUCCUAGUUUUCUGCUUCUCGUUCAUCGGUGUUUGUCGCUAUGGAGAGCUCUGAUCUACGAAGUCCUAGGGACGGGCGAACCGACCUAGGGCAGCCCAUCACCGCCGUGCGUCGAGACGGGGUCUCUCCCGGCCGCGUGGGGUUUCAGGUCUUCAAAAGCGCUCGCCGGAUUGUCUUGCGUAUCGCGCUUCCGGUGAGCCUCCUUCGGCGACGUGUCUUGCGUAUCACGCUCGACGCUGAUGGUACACAUUGACGUGUUCGUUUGUGAACAUGACCAAGGCGUGUAUGCAAUCUCGUGCAAUCUCGUCGGCGCUAGUCUCUCAAGGGUUGACGGAUCCUAGGAUUCUCGAAGCACUUGCAUGUCGGGAAACACUCUCUCUCUNNNNNNNNNNAGACGGGGUCUCUCCCGGCCGCGUGGGGUUUCAGGUCUUCAAAAGCGCUCGCCGGAUUGUCUUGCGUAUCGCGCUUCCGGUGAGCCUCCUUCGGCGACGUGUCUUGCGUAUCACGCUCGACGCUGAUGGUACACAUUGACGUGUUCGUUUGUGAACAUGACCAAGGCGUGUAUGCAAUCUCGUCGGCGCUAGUCUCUCAAGGGUUGACGGAUCCUAGGAUUCUCGAAGCACUUGCAUGUCGGGAAACACUCUCUCUCUCUCUCUCUCUCUCUCUCUCUCUCUCUCUCUCUCUCUCUCUCUCUCUCUCUCUCUCUCGCAAAGAACCUCAUGGUGUNNNNNNNNNNGGCCGAUUGAACAACACACAAUCGCAAAACCCAUCUACAAACUUUCAUCUCAUAUCCUAGUUUUCUGCUUCUCGUUCAUCGGUGUUUGUCGCUUUGGAGAGCUCUGAUCUACGAAGUCCUAGGGACGGGCGAACCGACCUAGGGCAGCCCAUCACCGCCGUGCGUCCAGACGGGGUCUCUCCCGGCCGCGUGGGGUUUCAGGUCUUCAAAAGCGCUCGCCGGAUUGUCUUGCGUAUCGCGCUUCCGGUGAGCCUCCUUCGGCGACGUGUCUUGCGUAUCACGCUCGACGCUGAUGGUACACAUUGACGUGUUCGUUUGUGAACAUGACCAAGGCGUGUAUGCAAUCUCGUCGGCGCUAGUCUCUCAAGGGUUGACGGAUCCUAGGAUUCUCGAAGCACUUGCAUGUCGGGAAACACUCUCUCUCUCUCUCUCUCUCUCUCUCUCUCUCUCUCUCUCUCGCAAAGAACCUCAUGGUGUAGCAGAUCAAAAUUGCUUCAGAUUGUAAGUCAGUGGUGCAGGACAUAAAUGGAGGCACUUUGGGGCCUAUUGCUCCGAUUGUGAAUGAGAUACAUGCUACUAGUAGCAACUUUAUUUCAUGUAAUUUUGUUUUUGAAGGUCGGCUCUUCAAUAUGGAGGCACGUAGUUUAGCAAAACAUGCUUUACAUCUAGAUGAGCGUCAUGGUAUACUCACGGCAGAUGCCAUGGGUAGGCUUAUCGAACAUGGUUGGGGCCAAAGGACGUCGGNNNNNNNNNNGAACCUCAUGGUGUAGCAGAUCAAAAUUGCUUCAGAUUGUAAGUCAGUGGUGCAGGACAUAAAUGCAGGCACUUUGGGGCCUAUUGCUCCGAUUGUGAAUGAGGUACAUGCUACUAGUAGCAACUUUAUUUCAUGUAAUUUUGUUUUUGAAGGUCGGCUCUUCAAUAUGGAGGCACGUAGUUUAGCAAAACAUGCUUUACAUCUAGAUGAGCGUCAUGGUAUACUCACGGCAGAUGCCAUGGGUAGGCUUAUCAAACAUGGUUGGGGCCAAAGGACGUCGGUGGGUUCCAGAAGCGAGAUUGGGGACAAGUGAUCUGCGACACACGAUGUAUCCAGGUUCGGGGCCCUCUGUGGAAGGUAAAACCUAGUCCUACAAGAUCUACUAGACGUAUCACAAGAGGGCUACAAUGAUGCUCCUUGAGUUGUGUUGAAUGGAGGAGGAAGAAGAGCUAGCUCUCUCCUUCUCCAUCGAAAAAUGUGUGUGUGUGGGUGGGUGGUGGAUAUGGACAUGUGAACCGAAGGGGAGCCGCCCCUCUGCAUGGAGGGCUCCUGGGGGGUCUUAUAGGCCGACCCCCAUGGUACAAUGGUAAAUCUACACGGGAGCGGGCCCCAGUGUCAUAGUCUUGGUCUUCGCGUGGGCCCCGCCGACAGGGCGUCAUUGUGGCACAUCUCCGGUCACAUCACAGAGUAGUUGGAACAGUGCCGGGCCGCGCGGACGCCGCUCGCCCGGGCAGCGGAGCGGCGCUCACUGUAGCCACACCUCCUCCGUCAACGGGGAGGGGUGCACUGUUGCCAUGCUCCUCCGCCGUGGAGGGGUUGUCUUGUCGUACGACUGCGGGAUUGAGGGGCACUUGCUGCCCUGAUGCUUUUGAAAAUCGUUCAAUGUGGAUGCGCCUACCUAGGGGUCAUCUCCUCGUCAAUGAGGGACGCCAUUUGUGGCUUCUGAAUCCUCAUGACAUUUCUGUAAUACCGGUGACUCGAACUUUUGAUUAGUAAAGUAAGGCAUGUUACCUCUAAAAAAAACUUUAAUCGGCUGCACUCAGUACAACCCAUUCAGUGCAUGUUAAUUUUGUUUUAAAUGUAAAAGGUCUGUAACUCAUAAUCACAGUAAUACAAAUAAAGUUCAACUGUUCAUGUGGUAUUAAUAAUUAUGAAUAUUAUACAUAAAACUAAAACAACUAACUUUAAAAAUUGUUCAUUUAUUAUUUUGAAACAUUAAUAUAGUUGAAAUAGCUUAAUUAAAAAUGAAGAUCUUUUGCAAUAUUAAAUAAUUUAAUAUAUUAAAAGUACAUUUCAUAAAUAUUAUUUAAUAAUUAAAAAAUUUAAAUAAUUGCAAGCAUAUUUUGAUAAUCGAUGGUUAUGUUGUUAAUAUUUUAUCUAUAACUAAAAAUUAUUCAUAGUUUAAAAUGUAUAUAUGAAUAUUAACUCGUGAAUUAUAUUUACAUUACAUAAAAAUUAUGAAUAUAAGUCAUGAGCGAAAUUAUACACCAUUGAAUGUGCAUAAAUUUUAGUAAAUUUUGUUAUCCAUAUAUUUCUAUAAAUUAAAUAUAAUCACGCAUGUACAAUGUUUGUAUUCACUAUACAUGUAUAAAUCUAAUAUUUUUCGAAAUAUAAUCCAUGAUUGUAUAUUCGAAAUGUCUGUAGUUAAUACACAUUUUUAAACACUCAUGGUUGUUAAUAAAAACAAUAUUGUCUAAAUAAUACGUAAAUAUUUCUCAAAAUUACAGUAACAUUUUUAGUAAUUUGUUUUAUUGCAUACAUAUGUUUUUAGGGGUUUUAUUGCAUACAUCUGCGUAUUUAUUUUGUGUGCACAUGAAUAUUUAUCGCAUGUGUCUGCUUUAUAAUUUUUGUUAAAUAAAACAUGCAUUUAUUAUGAUUAUAAUCCACACACGUUUUAUAUUUUUCUUGAAAUAAUAAUGUUUGUAAAAUUCAGAGUACUAGCAUGUGUGUCAGUGUGAUUAUAAUUUACAGAUUUUUUUAAAAAAAUUAACAUCUUCUAAAUGGGCUGCAACGACUGCAGCCCAUUUAAGUAGCACAAGCUUUUUCCUACAGUACAUUAAGCUUGAGGUGUGAUUCUCAAAAAAGAAAAUUAAGCUUGAGGUGCAAUAGGUGCAAUACCACUGGUGAUAUUACCUCUUCUGAUUACCAUGAAAGAAAAUAUUUGUGGAAGUGUAUGACUUAUGUCAUGGACGCAUGCGUGUUAAUAUAGCUGAACAUGGUUACAAGGUGCGACAGAUUGUUAUGGACUUGACCCCUAGUCCAAGCUAUACAAGAUAAGGAUCUAUCCUACUAACAACCAGUCUUGUACAAGAAACAAACACAUGCACAUACAUACGUUACAUGUUGUCACGAUCCUACAAGUCUAUCGUUUAACAACAUCCUGGCGGCCAUGUAUUUACUUUCUAGACUACUUUUUUGCAGAUUUUUUGAGCAUGCCAUCUUAGUCUUACAUGAUUGUUUCUCUAACUAUCCCAGUUUGACGAAUGGGCGGAUUAAGUCACUUGUAGGGAUGCAGAAAGAGAGAAUCAUCAUUUUUUUCUCUCUUGCUGGUUUGCCCUCAUUUGGUGUACAAUCCAUGUAGUCUUUAAUCCACCUGCUACUACUAGUAUAAUGGACUUGUUCGGGAAUUGGCUGGUCGGGAUUCAUCCCAAAUUUAAGGCGUGUAUCCAAGUGAGAGUAUGUUCGUUACACUGUGUAUAGUUUUGGAAUUGCCCCAGUGGCUAUGCUUUUAACAGCAUAAAAUUUCCACAAAAAUGAUGUUAUCAUCCGAGCUAAAUGCAUGCAUUGAUGGAUCUGUAUCUGGUGCUAUUCUAACGUGUGGAGAAUCAAGCGCCUAGGGCCUUCGGGCGCAGCCGUUGUUAGGUGAUAGCACGGGUAUGUUUACCUAUUCGGAUAACUAGAUGACCAGUUGCGCCAAUGGCGCAAAGGCCAAGAGUAAGCCAUGUAUUGAAAGAGUGUACAUUAAUAUUAUUCGGACACAUAUUGAAACAUAUGAAAAAAAAUUCCACUUGCUAUAAGUAUAAGCGAUGCAAUACCCAUAUAAUGUUCAAAGACAUAUCAGUAUUAACAGAACUGUUAAUUAGUCAGACACAAAAUUCACACCCAAGCAAUCUUAAGGAGGGCCAACAGAAUUGAAAUCACUGAUGCAAACUAUCAGCAGUUAGUAAUAUUUAUACACACAGCUUCUUUAUUGUAGUCAUAUGAUAAUGAAAUCGGUACUUAAAUCAGCACCAAGGAUAGCCGAUCAGACAAAAAAAUUCUGCAUCCCACUGAACAACACUAUUAUGCAGGACUUAUUUUAAAAGGCCCAGUUCUAAUUUCUAUAAGAGCUUGAAGCUUUGGAGCCAAGGCUACGAACCUUCAAAUCCGACCAAAUAUCUUACCAUGCAAACACGGUAAAAUGGGAAAGAAAGACCCUAAAUGUGACGUACCAAAAGCGGAAGAAAAUGUUGAACGACCUGGGCGUGAGGAGUUGUGCCGGUGACUUGGUGACGCCGAGCAGCGCGUGGAUGUGGGCCAGCCUGAUGAUGGUGGUGGCGGCGCCCUCUUUUUUUUUUAGUUUCCUGUGAUCCAAAGUAGUCGCUGGAACAAAGUAAAUCUUUAAACACCUAUGUAAGUAGAUUCAAAACAAUAAGAAGUCAUUUAAUUGAUGGAAUGUAGCAUUAUGAAAAAUAUACAACAAAGUGAUUUUGCGUAUGCUAGUUGCAGCAUCGGCACAGCACAUAUUCUAGCAAACAGACCUACUCCCUCCGUUCCAAAAUAGAUGACUCAACUUUGUACUAAAGUUAGUACAAAGAGUUAGUACAAAGUUGAGUCGUCUAUUUUGGAAUGGAGGGAGUAUGUUUGACACAUUCUACCACAAAGUAAGUGCCUGUCCAAAGGCUUCCGCACUGUGGCUCAUGUAGAAAACUGAAAAUGGCUCAACUGUAGUAGCAUGCAUGUCUAACAUCUUUUGUCCUUUCAUAAAGCAACGAAAGUUCAGAACAUACCAUCUUAAACCGGUGAGCGACUUGGUUUACAUUAUCUCCUAGAUGACCUGAGCUACAAAUUUAUUGUUUCCAUAAAUUAGAUAAAUAAUGUUUGUACAAUGAAUUUUAAAUGUAAAAGCAGCCUAGUAGAAAUUAAGGCAUAAUAUCAUCGUGUGAAAAAGCUCAAUAAACUACAUCAACACAAGCAAAAUGACAGACAAAAUACAUGAUAAUAUUUUUUCGCCCAUGGAUAUGUACUUCCAAAUAGCUUUAUAUUAACAUCAUAUGCACGUGCUGAAGGAAAAUUUUAAUUAGAUCAACCAAGGCAAAAAUAUAUUGUGUAAGAUCUCAUCUCUUGUAAAAAGAAACUGGCGCAAAUAGAAAGCAGAAAUCUAAGACCAUUUAGGAAAAGAGUUAACCAGUUAAUCGGUAAAAGACAACAAUGUAAGAUGCCAUCAGUUAUAAAAAAACUGAUCAAGGAGCACAUAAAUCACUUCCCGCAGGGCGCCCUCCCCUGCCUCCAUCCUGAGCACCUCCAUCCCGUGAGCACUCAAGCCCUGGAUCCAUAGUCUCGAGCUCACCCGAGCUCCGCCAUCUCUGCCUCGAGCUCUGAAAUCAC
rnacentral:lncRNA from 1 species